rnacentral:lncRNA from 1 species
AUGUCUUUUAAGACCGACUUUUACUUCAUGUGAGACACAAUCCCUGCAUGAUUAUGAGCUCAAUCUUAUCUAUAUAACUUUUCUACACUUUUAGGAAGAUGCAGCAACUUGUGAAAGGUGUUUUUUCACAAGUGGUGUGAACUCAUUGACAGCGCGCCCUGUGUUGCGUCUGAAAGCAGAACACAGCCAGCUCUGCGAAAAUAAUCCAAAAUUACAGACGACGAAUUAAAAAUACCAAGAGAAAGGUCGGGAAUAAGACUACUGUCCCACCAGCUUCGACCAGACACGGCACAGUUUAAUAACACUUCCUGUAUCACACGCCAUUCUUCUCUAAGCACAGAGCGUAAUAUACAGAAUUUCAUGCAAUCAGGUUUGUCGGUUUAACCGAUAUUAUUCAUACCAGUAGAAGCUUUUUGGUAUCUUAUUCAAUUAAUUGAUCUUCGUAACUCGAUUUACUUAAUGUAAAUAUAGCCCAACCCCCGUCCUCUUAUAAAAAGGGGACAUUAAAUGAACUAAGCAAAUAAUAAAAAAGACCCGUCCAGCCACUGGAGCCAUGGAUACCGUGCGCGUGAUUCCAGCUUUCAACUUUUUAAAACAAGUUGUGUGAGCGCGUCCGUUGCGACUUCUGUAUUAUCGCAAUGGGAGUCCAGCUUUCUUACCCACUAGUUCAAGAACCUGAAAGUUAUGAGGAUCCUGAUUUUGAUGAGGAUUCUGCACAAACCGAUUUUGCACUUCAAAUACAUAAGAUCAACUUGGAGUUCUGUGCUGAGAUUGUUCAUCACAGGAUUCGCUCGGUAGCAGAACAAUCCAAAUUUGAAGAAUUCGAGCUCAACUGGCAAACAAAGGUUGUUGAACUCCAAAAGCAGUACCCAGAUUGGUCAAACGAGGACAUCUUGAAUCUUAAGUUGUUGUUUGAAAUGUUUGAUAGCAACUGUGACUGCGUGUUGGACUUCCAUGAAAUUGACAAAGCCCUGAAUGAAGUUCAUGAUGCAUCCAGUGAAGAAGAACGCAGAAUGCUAUUUGAAGAAUGUGCCAAGGAAGAAUAUGGCUCACUAAAUUUUGAGGAAUUUCUUCAGCUAAUGUAUACAUUGAGACAGCGGACAGGACCUAGCAGAAUGCCUGCUAACUUGAUUAGUAAUGAUGCAGGCACUGGGGAGAUGAUCAGCAUUGUGAGGAGAAUCGACACUUUUCAGCAGAUGUGCUAUGGUGUCUUUUAAGUCACAAAUGUCUGCAGAAACACAGUCUGUUUCAUAACUCACAAUGUAAAUGCGUUGUUUUACUGUAAGUUUUUGAGUUUAGAAUAAAAAAAAUGUUUACUGUGUAAAUCCCAUGACUUAAUGUUUCUGGUAAAUCAGUUAUACAUAAAUACUGGCACUUUCCAAUCCAUUCCAGUGCCGCUUGUCAGCAAAACACACUCCUUAGUUACAUAACUCAGUUAACAUUAAGACAAACAUUCACAGAACUGAUUGUGCCAGCAGCCUGCAGUGGCAUGAAUUGAGAAUAUCUGGCAUUCGAGGAAAAGGAGUGCUGCAAGCUACUGUAUGUAAUUUUCAAGAUUUCCACUAGGUGUCACUUCAAGACUGGUAUGAAAAUAUUGCAUAUGACAAGUGACAGUAUUGCAAGUCUUUUUGUUAGAUGAUGAGUUACUAAACCUGUGUUACUAAAAACCUGUUUAGUGUUACUAAACCUUUCCGAUAAUAACAAUAAUCAAACUUUGGGUUGGCUUCAAACUGCAACGUACCGAGGAACUGCUGGAAACCACUUCAACACUUUUAGUACACUUCUGAGACAUUACAAUACCAAUCACAAUGCCAGCAAAUGGCUGUAUUCAGGAUGACCACAUAUAAUGACGCUGGCACAAGAUGAAUGGAUCAGGGUCACACAGUUCUCAAAACUCCCUUGGAAGGCACCUGCAACAGCCAAAACAUGCCAACCUGUGAGGCGAAUAUCUUGCAGUCAGUUAUAACACUAAUGGUGGCCACCACACUAGAUACUGUCAUUUGAAGAGCUUUUACACCCCUUGUUCAUGUUCAUUUAGCUCUGAAACGCACUCAUACAGUACAUACAAUUGUAUUAUUAUCGUUCUAACUAUUAGGUGAACAAUUGCAUGGCUGAGGUAUACUGUAUGUAAUGUUUCAGGCACACUGCCUCCAUUGUGAUUUAGUUAUUUUGUUUCUCAUUAUGUUCUUCAGCAGUGCACCAUUUUGAGCUCCAUUCUAUGCACUUUUUUGGGUUAGUAUAACUUUAAAAGAAUGCCUUUACAUUCUUUGAUCAAGCAUUACAUUUUUGUACACUCAAAAGUAGUUGUCCUAAAUUUUCAAUGAUUCAGUAACACUUACUGACAGUUUUAAGAUCCUCACCCACUGUUCAGGUUUCAGUUUGAAUCGCUUGACUGUCUGAUAAAUUUGAAAAGCUCUUAAAAAUUGAUUGAAGUUUUUUUUUUACCAUUUGACUUCUUCAUAAUUUGUCUUUUUU